AUUGAACGCUGGCGGCAGGCCUAACACAUGCAAGUCGAGCGGCAGCGGAAAGUAGCUUGCUACUUUGCCGGCGAGCGGCGGACGGGUGAGUAAUGUCUGGGAAACUGCCUGAUGGAGGGGGAUAACUACUGGAAACGGUAGCUAAUACCGCAUAACGUCGCAAGACCAAAGAGGGGGACCUUCGGGCCUCUUGCCAUCAGGUGUGCCCAGAUGGGAUUAGCUAGUAGGUGGGGUAACGGCUCACCUAGGCGACGAUCCCUAGCUGGCCUGAGAGGAUGACCAGCCACACUGGAACUGAGACUCGGUCCAGACUCCUACGGGAGGCAGCAGUGGGGAAUAUUGCACAAUGGGCGCAAGCCUGAUGCAGCCAUGCCGCGUGUAUGAAGAAGGCCUUCGGGUUGUAAAGUACUUUCAGCGGGGAGGAAGGUGCUGAGGUUAAUAACCUCAGCAAUUGACGUUACCCGCAGAAGAAGCACCGGCUAACUCCGUGCCAGCAGCCGCCGUAAAAC
rnacentral:rRNA from 1 species